UCGGGAAUAUUGCGCAAUGGAGGAAACUCUGACGCAGUGACGCCGCGUAUAGGAAGAAGGUCUUCGGAUUGUAAACUCCUGUUGUUGGGGAAGAUAAUGACGGUACCCAACAAGGAAGUGACGGCUAACUACGUGCCAGCAGCCGCGGUAAAACGUAGGUCACAAGCGUUGUCCGGAAUUACUGGGUGUAAAGGGAGCGCAGGCGGGAAGACAAGUUGGAAGUGAAAUCUAUGGGCUCAACCCAUAAACUGCUUUCAAAACUGUUUUUCUUGAGUAGUGCAGAGGUAGGCGGAAUUCCCGGUGUAGCGGUGGAAUGCGUAGAUAUCGGGAGGAACACCAGUGGCGAAGGCGGCCUACUGGGCACCAACUGACGCUGAGGCUCGAAAGUGUGGGUAGCAAACAGGAUUAGAUACCCUGGUAGU
rnacentral:rRNA from 1 species